rnacentral:lncRNA from 1 species
GCCUGUUCCAUUCCUCAGUCCGAACAGUUCAGCCCCAGUCAGACUCUGGACGGGGGUUUUCUGUUGCAAAAAAAAAUUACAAAAGCGAUAAAAUAAAAGUGAUUUUCAUUUGGGAGGUGAAGAGUGAAUUACCAGCAAGGAGCUGGGCCUUGGGCCCUCACCAUUUCUGUUGUAGUUUGGGUGGUGCAGGUAACCUGUGUGGUGUGAACCGAGGCGCUGCCCCCACCAUCACCACAGUAAAGCAUCUAUACUCAAUGCUGUCCAAGCCCUCCCUUACCUCUAGCCAGCCUGGGUAGGUGGACAAGGGGCCUCAGUUUGCUGGGUGUUUAUAUAGAAAGUAGGUUGAUUUUUAUUUUACAUGCUUUUGAGUUACUGUUGGAAGACUAAUCAUA